rnacentral:misc_RNA from 1 species
GAUGAAGAACGUAGCGAAAUGCGAUAAGUAAUGUGAAUUGCAGAAUUCAGUGAAUCAUCGAAUCUUUGAACGCACCUUGCGCCCUUUGGCUAUUCCGAAGGGCAUGCCUGUUUGAGUAUCAUGAACACCUCAACUCUUCACGGCUUGCCGUGAUGAGUUUGGACUUUGGGGGUCUUGCUGGCCUACGAGCCAGCUCCUCUCAAAUGUAUUAGCUUGCCGGUGUUUGGUGGCAUCACAGGUGUGAUAACUAUCUACGCUUGUGGUUUUCCACUAGGAAACCUUCAGCAAUGGAGGUUCACCGGAGCUCACAAAUGUCUCUCCUUGCCAAGGACAGAUUUUGACCAUUUGAUCUCAAAUCAGGUAGGACUACCCGCUGAACUUAAGCAUAUCAAUAAGCGGAGGA